rnacentral:lncRNA from 1 species
GUUUUGGAUGAAGCAGAUAAAAAUGUUGAACCAAGGAAUUAAGGAUCAAAUCCAUGAGAUUUACUAGAAAUUAAAUACAAGUUAAAGAUUGUGUUGCUUUCUGCCUCAAUAUUAAUAUGUUGGAAGUUACCAAGAAGUUCAUGACAGAUCUAUUUCAAAUUCUGGUGAAGAAGGAAGAAUUGGCCCUUGAAAGAAUCGCGACAGAAGGAAGAAAACAUUAUCAGGAGGGAAUUCAGAUAAAGGACAAACCAUAUUUUGACUGCUACUGACUUGUUGUUGUUCAGAACUGGCAGUCGGGGUCAACUUGGGAAGACAGCUGUGACCAUAAAUAUUAAAGAAGACAAAAGGAUUCUUUGUGACACUGAGACCUUCUGCAGUACCACAGUGGAGGAAAUGCCAGUGUACACAACUGGCCUCAUUU